rnacentral:rRNA from 1 species
UUGACGGGGAGCACCACAACGGGUGGAGUCUUGCGGUUUAAUUGGAUUCAACGCCGGAAAUCUUACCGGGACCGACAGCAAUAUGAAGGCCAGGCUGAAGACUUUGCCGGAUUAGCUGAGAGGUGGUGCAUGGCCGUCGUCAGUUCGUACUGUGAAGCAUCCUGUUAAGUCAGGCAACGAGCGAGACCCACGCCCACAGUUGCCAGCGUACUCUCUGGAGUGACGGGUACACUGUGGGGACCGCCGCUGCUAAAGCGGAGGAAGGAAUGGGCAACGGUAGGUCAGUAUGCCCCGAAUAUCCCGGGCUACACGCGAGCUACAAUGGUUGGUACAAUGGGUAUCUACCCCGAAAGGGGACGGGAAUCUCCUAAAACCAAUCUUAGUUCGGAUUGAGGGCUGCAACUCGCCCUCAUGAAGCUGGAAUCCGUAGUAAUCGCGUUUCAACAGAACGCGGUGAAUACGUCCCUGCUCCUU